UUGUCACAGGUGACGUUUUAAAUGAACGACGGGCGGAACCCGGCUUCCACAUUUUAUUUGGACGACGGGCGGAACCCGGCUUCCACAUUGCAUUUCCGGGGUUUCCCCGAAGUCAAAUUAAGCCUGAUCACGCUCAGACGGACCACGCUGGUCGGAUCGCUCUCCUGGGGAAGAGAGUAAGAGACAGUCAGCGGACGAAGGGAUAGUGUGGAGUUUACGUGAGAAGGAGUGGACAUAGAGCCAUCGAGAGCACCGUGAACAGAGGUUAUUGGCAACCAAGCGUGAGUAACCGCUGUGAUACUUCUCUGCAAAUGUCUUGUAUGAAGAAUUACCCUGGUGUGUGUUCUUGUGUUUCGUGAGGUCCCUGGCCCCACUGGAGAGGAGAGCGUGGGUGAGCCGCGGUUGACCAGAAGCACGGACAAAGCACCGCCCGCCAGUAAGCCAGUGGCCCUGUGGGAAAGAGGAAGUGCAGGUGAGCCAGGGAAGUGAUAACCGACACGCCGGGCCUGUGAAUACCAUACAUCUCUCCCUCCUUUGUGUGAUCCAGUUGUUGCCCAACCAAUCUCUCGAGGUCGUCGUGGUCAGGUGGCAAGGACGAUCUAAAAUUCACGUGACGUGGUAUAAGAGUGCUGUGGGUGAGUUUCACUGAUUGAUGGUGUUUACGCUUGACUUGCUGUGCGUAUGCUGUGCUUGUAGCGUUCGAACUGCCCAGCCUCCGACGAGACACGAGAUGGUGACAUCUGUUGCGGCCUGAAUCCUGUAGGGAGAGAGAGAAAAUCAAGCCUUGUGCCCGGGGUGUGACAACGAGAGCUUCGUCUACUACUUACCUGAAUCAGUGGAGCUCUGUGUGGGAACGAGGAUCCCCCGGCACUGUGAGUAACGCAGCCUGUGAAAUAACCUGUUCUGUGCUUAUAGCAACAACCUACCUGAACCAGUGGAGCUCCGUGUGGGAACGAGGAUCCCCCGGCACUGUGAGUAACGCAACCUGUGAAAUAACCUGUUCUGUGCUUAUAGCAACAACCUACCUGAACCAGUGGAGCUCCGUGUGGGAACGAGGAUCUCCCGGCACUGUGAGUAACGCAACCUGUGAAAUAACCUGUUCUGUGCUUAUAGCAACAACCUACCUGAACCAGUGGAGCUCCGUGUGGGAACGAGGAUCCCCCGGCACUGUGAGUAACGCAACCUGUGGAAUAACCUGUUCUGUGCUUGUAGCGACUACCUACCUGAAUCAGUGGAGCUCUGUGUGGGAACGAGGAUCCCCCGGCACUGUGAGUAACGCAACCUGUGGAAUAAUCUGUUCUGUGCUUGUAGCAACUACUUACCUGAACUAGUGAAGCUCCGUGUGGGAACGAGGAUCCCCCGGCACUGUGAGUAACGCAACCUGUGGAAUAACCUGUUCUGUGCUUGUAGCGACUACCUACCUGAACCAGUGGAGCUCUGUGUGGGAACGAGGAUCCCCCGGCACUGUGAGUAACGCAACCUGUGGAAUAAUCUGUUCUGUGCUUGUAGCAACUACCUACCUGAACUAGUGAAGCUCCGUGUGGGAACGAGGAUCCCCCGGCACUGUGAGUAACGCAACCUGUGGAAUAACCUGUUCUGUGCUUAUAGCGACAACCUACCUGAACCAGUGGAGCUCCGUGUGGGAACGAGGAUCCCCCGGCACUGUGAGUAACGCAACCUGUGGAAUAACCUGUUCUGUGCUUGUAGCGACUACCUACCUGAACCAGUGAAGCUCCGUGUGGGAACGAGGAUCCCCCGGUGCUGCGAGCAUCAGUGGAGUGUUUGCCCUGGUCUGACUGUGCUCGAUUCUGCCUCCAGGAGAAGCGGAGCGCGCCACGGGUUGCUGGGCCAGAGCCCCGGCCCCCAGUCUUUUCCCCAAGUGGCCCUGGAGGCAAAGAAGAGCCACAUUAGUUUUAAAGUUCCCUUUUCCCCUUCCCCCUUUCCCCUUUUUAAAUAUUUAAUAAAGCUUGUUUUAAUUAUA